rnacentral:rRNA from 1 species
UACGUAGGGGGCAAGCGUUGUCCGGAAUCAUUGGGCGUAAAGAGCGUGUAGGCGGUCCGGUAAGUCGGCUGUGAAAGUCCAAGGCUCAACCUUGGGAUGCCGGUCGAUACUGCCGGACUAGAGUUCGGAAGAGGCGAGUGGAAUUCCCGGUGUAGCGGUGAAAUGCGCAGAUAUCGGGAGGAACACCUAUGGCGAAGGCAGCUCGCUGGGACGUUAACUGACGCUGAGACGCGAAAGCGUGGGGAGCAAACAGG